rnacentral:lncRNA from 1 species
AAAUAAACAUUAGCAAUAACUAAACUCAAGUAAAUAAAAUUAACAAUAUGGAGAUAGAGAUCACACAUCUUAAAACGAUGUCUCAAACCAAUCAGAAUAUUGUUUUCUGUUACUUUUAGUUAUAUAGCAACAUUUGAUUGGUCUGGGACACUAUUUUGGGACGGGUAAUCUUUGUCGAUAGAAUGUCGGGAACUUACGUAUUACAAUUAAUGUUCCUGGAGAUGGGGAAUCCGACAUUAACACCACAUCGUUUGGGAAGUGAGGCAGCUAAGUCAUCCCUUAGCCCAGAAAAGCCAUCAGCUGCUGCUUUAAGGCAUUCACAAGCGCUGCGUCUAUCAUUUUUAGUAGGUGUUGAUGAUUUUAGGUCAAUAACAGCAUCACAACAUUCACUUGAAGGAGCAUCACCACCUUC